rnacentral:pre_miRNA from 1 species
UGGCUACAAAAUAACUUAUUUUGUAGCCACUUUGAGUUACGAUAAUUACUAUAUUAAUUUAUAAGAUUAUAGUAACUCCUUGCUAAGUGGUUUACUAUAACAUUACAUUACGGUAAAUAUCUCCAUGUGUUAUACUAAUCCAACUAUCGUAAAUGUGUAUACAUAUUAUUGUAAAUUAGUAUAUAAAAUUAUUGUAAAUGGAGGUGGCUGUAGAAUAACAUAUUUUGUAGCCA